rnacentral:lncRNA from 1 species
CCUCCUUCCUACCCCAAAACAUCAUUUAUUGUAAUCUAAGGUUUAGGGCGUUUAUCUGAAACAGGAAAUAUUGUCAAACUGGUCAAUCAUGCAGGCACAAGUCAUGUGGAAAACUUCCCAGCUUCAUGCCAGGAGCAAAACUCCUGCUUCAUAAACUUGUGUGACAUCUAAAUCACUGCAAUGUUAAAUAUUAUGUUAAAAAUUAUGAAAUUUUCAACAUGGACCAGUCAUGCUCUCAGAUGGCUCCUCUCAUGAGCUCUCAUGGCCUUGAGUUACCAGGAGCUGGGGGAGCUCCCCUGGGCUGCAGCCCCUGGGCAGAGGAAAGGGGUCCCUGUAGUGGUCUCAGGAGGUGUCAGUUGUCUGCGGCCCCUCACCUUCCCCAGAAGUGAGCAGCCAUCAGAACAAAGUCCUGUCACACGAAGACACUGCCACAUCUACUGGGCAUCUCCUCAUCUAUAAUCUGAAUCCAUGCCAUAUAGGGGUGGGAGUGGGGCUUGGCCUCAUCUCCACUGAUGGUGUCCUCUGAUAGAAAAGACUGGAAGAUGGGCUUUCUGGGAGUGGCUGUGGUCAGGAGGGAAGGCUCUGAAAGGCUGUGAUUGAAGGUGGGGUCUACAGUGCCCUGCGGACACCGGGGGAGAGUCCUCCCAUGUUCUCCAUGCAGUAGAAUAAGCUUUUCUGAAUGUCAAGCCUGAGAACCCGCUGUGAGAAAAGAGAGGAUGGUGCUUGCUGUCCCUGCCCUACUUCCGAGGAUGCAUGGAGGAGAUAAGAGCUGUCUUCACGAUGGUGGAGCCAAGAGGAUUGUGGACAGGGCUCAGCUAAGCCUUCUGUCUCAAUACACAGUCCCCACGGGGAAGGCAGGAGUGGUGGCUCAAGACCUCACAGACCUCCUAGACCUUUGGUCCUCUGGUUUUCUUCUGUCAUCUGCAAUGUGGUUUGUCAAAGUUCUCUGGAUUGGCUUAGGUGACAGUAGCACUGUCACCAACCACACUUGCACUCCCAGUGCUGAGUCACAGCGUGAAAGCAAGAAGAAAGAACAAGAAAGUGAAGCCUGUGCUGCAGCCAGCAGAGAAGCUGGACCCGGAAGGCCCUUGGUGACUGAAUCUAGAAUGUCUCCAUUUCUUAGCUCUUGGCUCUUUUUCCAUCCUGAUGAAGUGCUGAAGAACUAUUUAGGAAGCUUUCUCCGAGGAGAUGAGUGAGAUGGCUCCUGCCCUUGAGAAGACGGUGGUCACCUUGAGUAGACUGAGAAUCUGUGGUUAGUGUGUAGGCCUGUAGGGGCUGUGGUGGGGGUCAGCCUUGUGGUGGGACAUACAUUCUGGACCUGCCUUAGGAGCGUGUAGAGCUGGACAUACGCAGACAUCCCCCAUGGCAACCUCACUACCUCUCUGACCACAAGUCCAGUUUUGUAUUUUGGAAUAUUUAGAAUCCCCUGUUUAAAUGCAAAUAUGCUGUGACAAAGAGAGCUUCAUUUAUCCCACAAUUUUGAAUAAAAUCCUGGACUUGAUAUUCA